rnacentral:rRNA from 1 species
GACGAACGCUGGCGGCGUGCUUAACACAUGCAAGUCGAACGGAAAGGCCCAGCUUGCUGGGUGCUCGAGUGGCGAACGGGUGAGUAACACGUGGGUGAUCUGCCCCUAACUUCGGGAUAAGCUUGGGAAACUGGGUCUAAUACCGGAUAGGACAAUCGUUUAGUGUCGGUUGUGGAAAGUUUUUUCGGUUAGGGAUGAGCCCGCGGCCUAUCAGCUUGUUGGUGGGGUAAUGGCCUACCAAGGCGUCGACGGGUAGCCGGCCUGAGAGGGUUGACGGCCACAUUGGGACUGAGAUACGGCCCAGACUCCUACGGGAGGCAGCAGUGGGGAAUAUUGCACAAUGGGCGCAAGCCUGAUGCAGCGACGCCGCGUGGGGGAUGACGGCCUUCGGGUUGUAAACCUCUUUCGACAGGGACGAAGCUUUGGUGACGGUACCUGUAUAAGAAGCACCGGCUAACUACGUG